CGGUAAUUCCAGCUCCAAUAGCGUAUACUAAAGUUGUUGCAGUUAAAAAGCUCGUAGUUGGAUUUCUGCGGGGACGGAGCGGCCGGUCGCAACUUGCGUCUCGAGCUAGCGCUUUCCCCGCAUCCUGCCGCGAACCGUGCUACCAUUAGUUUGGUGGCGCUGGGGAUCGGCUCGAUUACUUUGAGAAAAAUAGAGUGUUCAAAGCAGGCCACACGCCUUGAAUAAGUUAGCAUGGAAUAAUGACUAAGGACUUCGGUUCUAUUUUGUUGGUGUUCGGGGCUGAAGUAAUGAUUGAUAGGGACAGUUGGGGCGGUCUGUAUUCCAAAGCGAGAGGUGAAAUUCUUAGACCUUCGGAAGACAAACAGCUGCGAAAGCGUUCCGCAAGGAUGUUCCCUUUGAUCAAGAACGAAAGUUGGGGGAUCGAAGACGAUCAGAUACCGUCGUAGUCUCAACUAUAAACUAUACCAGCUAGGGAUCGGCCAACGUUUAAUUAUUCGACUUGGUCGGCACCUUAUGAGAAAUCAAAGCAUCUGGGUUCCGGGGGGAGUAUGGUCGCAAGGCUGAAACUUAAAGGAAUUGACGGAAGGGCACCACCAGCCGUGGAGCCUGUGGCUUAAUUUGACUCAACACGGGAAAACUUACCAGGUCCAGACAUAGGAAGGAUUGACAGAUUGAUAGCUCUUUCUUGAUUCUGUGGGUGGUGGUGCAUGGCCGUUUUUAGUUGGUGGAGUGAUUUGUCUGCUUAAUUGCGUUAACGAACGAGACCCCAGCCUGCUAAAUAGCGCGGCCGAGCUUUGCUCGGUGCGAGCUUCUUAGAGGGACCAUGAUGCGCGAUAGCACAAGGAAGUUUGGGGCAACAACAGGUCUGUGAUGCCCUUAGAUGUUCUGGGCCGCACACGGGCUACACUGGCGCCUGCAACGAGCAUAUCAGCUGGCCCGAGAGGGUCUUGGCUAAUCUUUUGAACCGGCGCCGUGCUUGGGAUUGACCUUUGCAAUUGUUGGUCAUGCAACGAGGAAUGCCUUGUAAACGCGAGUCAUCAGCUCGCAUUGAAUACGUCCCUGCCCUUUGUACACACCGCCCGUCGCUCCUACCGAUGAAUGUUCCGAUGAAAUUUUCGGAGAGCGCCAGAGAACGGGGCUCUGCCUUGCAGAUCUGGAGGCUCAAAGUCACUUAAAUCUGAACAUUUCGAGGAAGGAGAAGUCGUAACAAGGUAACC
rnacentral:rRNA from 1 species